GUCCACGCCCUAAACGAUGUCUACUAGUUGUCGGGUCUUAAUUGACUUGGUAACGCAGCUAACGCGUGAAGUAGACCGCCUGGGGAGUACGGUCGCAAGAUUAAAACUCAAAGGAAUUGACGGGACCCGCACAAGCGGUGGAUGAUGUGGAUUAAUUCGAUGCAACGCGAAAACCUUACCUACCCUUGACAUGGCUGGAAUCCCUGAGAGAUCGGGGAGUGCUCGAAAGAGAACCAGUACACAGGUGCUGCAUGGCUGUCGU
rnacentral:rRNA from 1 species